rnacentral:lncRNA from 1 species
GCCUGCGCGGACGUCGAUGGGUUUGUGGGCGCAGGGCGCGAGGCGCGAGGCGGUAGCUGGGCUAGUCCUGUUCCCUGGCGUCUGGGCCUUUCUGCUCUCCGCAAGGAGCUGGGUCGCGACCUGUCACUGCCAGCCGUGCGCUCGCCCUCUGCGCCCCGUCUCGUGGUCACUGCCGCCCUCCCUCCCGCCACACCUGUGAUGAUCGCUAUGGAGCCGCGCCUCAGGUCUUCAAUGUUCCUGGCAGCUUAAAGUACCAACUGGGACACUUGUCACUAGUUUGAGAAGUGCAGCCAUAGUGACCUCUUUUGAAAGAUGAAUCAAUGAAUUAAGUCAUUUCUGAGAAACCAAGGAGGCCUGUUGAAGGAGGCUGGCCCUCCUGUGGCAGGUAACCCAACCUCCACUGCCCUUGGCAACAGGACAAGGCUAAUAUUUUCCCAAGAAGGGCCUUUUCAUGGAAUGAUCUUUCCAACCCGUUGACUACAACAAGCUGCCGCUCAGUCUUUUUUCCAUAGAGAGGACGUUUUUCCCCCAGAACAAGCAGGUCUUUUGUACCAGAAGGAAAAGAUUGCCACUCACCACUUGUUACUUUAUAGCCUUCGAAGCCCAACCCCAGGUGCUAGCUUUGAAACCCAACUUUGCCACAGACCAGCAUGUUGAUGGAGAGGCUCUCACCCACAAGCAUGGAGUGGGAGGGUGAUUUCCUGGGAGAAAGAAAGCCACUUUCUUUUUGGAAGCCAACGAAUGCCAAGUAGAUGCCACCAAAGCCAGUGAUGGCUUGUGAAAGCCCAGUGUCCUGGGACAGGAAAGACAAGGGGAUCCCAGCCAAGUCUGACUGCAAUGAGGCCAAACGUUGCCCCAGAGCAAGACUUCAUCUCCCUUUUCCUGACAAACCAUUGAUGGCUGCGUUUCACAUUAACCUAGAUUAAAAGUCUCCUUGAAAUGUAUAAUUGUAAUUAAUUAUUGGUUCAUUUGUUUGUCUCACCCCCACCCCCAGAAUGUUACUUAAUGGUAUGGAGGGAUUACCUUUAUCUUUGUAUCAUCAGAGAUCAAUAAAUGCAUGCUGAAUAAAUAAGUGUGAAAUA